rnacentral:misc_RNA from 1 species
UGUAAAUGAAGUCGGCUCCCCUGAAAUUGAUUAGCGGUGCCUCAGUAGAACCGUCUACAGGUGUGAUGAUUUAUCUACACCUUAGAUGUCUGCAUGAAGAGGUUAUGCUGCUUCUUAACCCUUGCUCCUUACUUGAAGAAGAAAGCAGCACUAAUGACAAUCUUGACCUCAAAUCAGGUAGGACUACCCGCUGAACUUAA